AUUGAACGCUGGCGGCAGGCCUAACACAUGCAAGUCGAGCGGAUGAAGGGAGCUUGCUCCUGGAUUCAGCGGCGGACGGGUGAGUAAUGCCUAGGAAUCUGCCUGGUAGUGGGGGAUAACGUCCGGAAACGGGCGCUAAUUCCGCAUACGUCCUGAGGGAGAAAGUGGGGGAUCUUCGGACCUCACGCUAUCAGAUGAGCCUAGGUCGGAUUAGCUAGUUGGUGGGGUAAAGGCCUACCAAGGCGACGAUCCGUAACUGGUCUGAGAGGAUGAUCAGUCACACUGGAACUGAGACACGGUCCAGACUCCUACGGGAGGCAGCAGUGGGGAAUAUUGGACAAUGGGCGAAAGCCUGAUCCAGCCAUGCCGCAUGUGUGAAGAAGGUCUUCGGAUUGUAAAGCACUUUAAGUUGGGAGGAAGGGCAGUAAGUUAAUACCUUGCUGUUUUGACGUUACCAACAGAAUAAGCACCGGCUAACUUCGUG
rnacentral:rRNA from 1 species